rnacentral:rRNA from 1 species
GGGGGGGUUUUCCGGAUUAUUGGGCGUAAGAGCUCGUAGGCGGUUUGUCGCGUCUGCCGUGAAAGUCCGGGGCUCAACUCCGGAUCUGCGGUGGGUACGGGCAGACUAGAGUGAUGUAGGGGAGACUGGAAUUCCUGGUGUAGCGGUGAAAUGCGCAGAUAUCAGGAGGAACACCGAUGGCGAAGGCAGGUCUCUGGGCAUUAACUGACGCUGAGGAGCGAAAGCAUGGGGAGCGAACAGGAUUAGAUACCCUGGUAGUCCAUGCCGUAAACGUUGGGCACUAGGUGUGGGGGACAUUCCACGUUUUCCGCGCCGUAGCUAACGCAUUAAGUGCCCCGCCUGGGGAGUACGGCCGCAAGGCUAAAACUCAAAGGAAUUGACGGGGGCCCGCACAAGCGGCGGAGCAUGCGGAUUAGUUCGAUGCAACGCGAAGAACCUUACCAAGGCUUGACAUACACCGGAAUCACUCAGAGAUGGGUGCGUCUUCGGACUGGUGUACAGGUGGUGCAUGGUUGUCGUCAGCUCGUGUCGUGAGAUGUUGGGUUAAGUCCCGCAACGAGCGCAACCCUCGUUCUAUGUUGCCAGCACGUCAUGGUGGGGACUCAUAGGAGACUGCCGGGGUCAACUCGGAGGAAGGUGGGGAUGACGUCAAAUCAUCAUGCCCCUUAUGUCUUGGGCUUCACGCAUGCUACAAUGGCCGGUACAAAGGGCUGCGAAACCGCGAGGUGGAGCGAAUCCCAAAAAACCAGUCUCAGUUCGGAUUGGGGUCUGCAACUCGACCCCAUGAAGUCGGAGUCGCUAGUAAUCGCAGAUCAGCAACGCUGCGGUGAAUACGUUCCCGGGCCUUGUACACACCGCCCGUCAAGUCACGAAAGUCGGUAACACCCGAAGCCGGUGGCCCAACCCUUGUGGGGGGAGCCGUCGAAGUGGGACUGGCGAUUGGGACUAAGUCGUAACAAGGUAAC